AGAUGGUGGUGUUGGGCUGGCUGUACUGUCCUACCCGGGCUUCCAGAUGUGGCGCCGCAUGGUCGAUGCUACAUGGGUGCUGCAUGCCACCGUUAGCAUGGACAAGAUCCUUGGUCUGCCAUCUGAGAUUGAGGCGGGGAGGGCAGCUAUAAGGGGGUACGCCGAGGAUGCCGAUGCAGUUUUCAUAUCGGUGAACAGCACCGACUGCCGGAACUAUUUCUUCAGUGUUCAACUCCAGUCGAUGCGGUCCACGGAACUGUGUGGGAACUUUUCAGGGAAUUCGUAUCACCCGUUCACCGAUUUCUAUACUGGUGACCUGUCAACUCUCCAACUUCCUGCUCCUGCGAACUAGUUCAGGGCGCUGAUGGAGCAGCAGAUGAUGGUGACCGGUGUUUUGAUGCGCUCCUGCGACCUAAGUUAAAGGAUAGUCAAAUGCACCUUCGCGGUACAUCUUAUGACUUGAAGCUAAACAUAUGAUGCUCAUAAGGCCCGACACUGAUCCAACUUCCUGCUGCUGAGAACUAUGUCUGGGGGGAUGCUACAGCGUAGGAUGAUGAUCACCAAAGUUUGGGCUGCUGAUGGGCACUCCAGCAAACUAAGAUAAAGGCCCGUCAAUGUGCCAACUUCCUGCUCCUACGAACUAUGUUCAUGACCCUGAUGGAGCAGCAGAUGAUGGUGACCGGAGUUUAAUGUGCUCCUGCGACUUAAGUUAAAGGUACCAGCCAUUGAGCAACCAAAGCAGCAGGCUCUACUCCUAUAUCGCCAUACAACCCCUCGAACCUUCCUAUUCCGUGAAGCUGAAUAUUUCUUAUUAGCAUGGUUCUUCUUGUAAUGAAAUGGUUGACUCAUAACAAGGGCAAGCUGUUGGAUUAGCCCUUAGAGAGAGAGACCCUUGCCACUUUGUCCCUUUAUUGUGAAUUUGUGAUAUUUUACGACUGAUCUCACUGAAAUCUUGAAUGUGCAGUAGCUGUGUUAUGUAUUCUCUGUAAAAAUGAGAGGAUGUGUUUGUGC